UUUUAGAUAUUACCAACAUGAUGGACGUUUAUGUCCGUGAGGUUAGACAAUGGUGAUGCCGUUACCCACGAUGCUCUGUGUAUGUUCAUGACAUUUUUGAUGAUGUCAUCUCUCAGGAUGUCUGUUUAUGGUUUAUAACGAGAGAAUGUCUGAAUGGUUUUUGACGAAACGUGUGGACAUAGUGCCAUUGGAGACUACUCCAAAUUCACACAUUUUAGGUGUUUUUUACUUUUUAGCAUCAGCACAGAACACCCUAUGGACCCAUCGAUGUCUGUCUGUCACACCCUCCUGCUGCCACUAGGAACUAUGCAACCCCAGGGCUUCUCUGAGUGGUGAAGUGAGUUUAGGGACUCCCACUCCCAAGGCUUAUCUGAAUUUGGGGCAAUGCCACAAGACUUGCUUCCUUAGGACUUCCACUCCCCUGCCUAGACCUUCGUCAUACUGGGUUGGAAAUUCCUGUUCUGCUAUCUCCAGUCAGAUGACCUAGGUCUUGGCAAAACUGAGACUGCUAAUCUCAUCUGGCCUUCCACCAUCACAAGUUGGAAUAACCACCUUGACUAUUCACACAGGGGGUUGUCCACCCACACAGAUAUACGCCACUUCCGGGGUCUGCGCGUGGAUUGCAACGCUUGUGAUAUCUGUAUGCUUUUGAUAGCAGAAUUUGAAAUGCGCGCCCUAUGGAAUACGCUAGAAUUUCAAUCGUUUUCUUCGUGCCGUACACUGUUUAACGCUGUCUCUGUAGAAGUACGUGGUUUUGUUUGUAGGACAAGAGAUAGACGGCCAGUCACUUUGCCUGAAAGAUGUGACAGAUGCUUAAUUAGUAGAAAACUGAAUUUUGAGGAUGAUCUGGGUGGUGAAGCUGCAGGUGUGGCAAGCCUGAUUUUGGACAAGCUUGUGGGGAAAAGCCUAGGGGGUUCUUCGUGGUGUGCAGGCCACUGAGGCAACCUGGUCCUCUUAGUGGCAAAGCUAGUGAGGCAGUCUUGAUGGUGUUAAGCGUGGGUUGGUCUCACCCGUGACCCCUCUUAGGAGUGUCCAGUCCCGGCAAAGACGAAGUUAUGGAUUGCGAAUGCCAGGGUUGGCAGCGGUUAGGAAAGGUGACCUGGGUGGAGCAUCAAAUGCAGGGGUCAUGUCUUGAUGAAGCCAGAAUUCUUGGGAAGGGCCAGGGUAGUAAAGUCUCUGGGUUUUAAUCAAAGGGGGUGCAGUCCCCAGAGGUGCUCUUACACUUGACAGUAGAAGCCUAGAUGGUGUGGCAAGCCUGGGGUGCUGUAACCUGCAAUUGUCAUAGCCCAGGAAUUUGGAAUCCCAGCAAAGGCAGAGCCUAGGUUACAAUGCGCGAGAGAAGAAGCCUGAGGGGCAAAGCACCAGGAGGAGAAUGGGCAGACGACUUGGCCUCAGACAGUAAGAUUGCUCGGGAAAGCCAGGUUUAUAAUUCCUCUCAGGUGGCAACCCUGGUUUGGAACAAGAAUGUGAAAAGGUCUAUGGGGCUUUCCAAGGGUGGGCAGUCCUUGGAGCGGUGAUUCUGGAACCCAGGGAUGUCUAAGCCCAUGGGUGUUAAAGUCCCUGGAGGGAAAAUCCUAGUGUUGUAAAGGCCCGGUUGAGAUGUAACAUGGGAUUUUGGUAGCCAGGGGUUGGACACGACUGGUGAGGGAGAAACCAAGAUGGGGGUUAGAACCGUGGGACCGCAAGCUGCUGGGAUAAGUUCUUAGGGGCCAGCACUGGCAUGGGUUAGCUGAAAGCCAUAAGAGACAUGGACGUUCGCGAAAGGUGUUCUCUUUGUUUUUGCUAAAGCCUAACGCUGACUGAAAAUACAAUUAUCGUUAUGAAAUAUAAUUACAGGUGAUGUUAUCAGAAUUCACGGCAAACAGGCGGAUGGAUGGUGGCUUGGGGAACUGAAUGGUGUGGUGGGCAUCUUCCCUGCAACGUACGUGCAAGAGAUAGACUGACAGCCUGGCCCAUCAUGUGUCAUGCGAGAGAGGCUGUUUGAAGCCAUUGGACUUUGUUUGGUGUUGGUUUGCACACAGGGUGUUACGAGGUGCCAUGUGAAUGGUUUAAAUGUUAGGCGGAACAGGUGCCGUUUGUUUGUGAUAUUUGUUUUGUGCUUCUGUUCCGUUGAGAUCGAGCAUUUGCCCCGUCCAGAGUGUUUAGAUGGAUGGAAGCAAACUGCGCGCGUGUGUGGUGAAACUGCUAUGGACAUAACCGUGUUGCAUGGUGCAACAUGCCAGUGGGUCAAUGUCUGGAGCUCAAAGUGCCAACGUACUGGAUCUGGUGUAUAAUUUAUCACUUCGGAUUCCAAAUAUAUAACACCAAGUGAAUCUUGUCUUUUUUUUUCGUUUCUCUAAAACUUGUAAUAUUAAAAGUGGAUACAAAGCUAAUGACUCUAUAAUGUAUUUAGCUUGGAAUUGUUGUGUUAAAAUAUUUUGCUCUUGUUUGUCACAAUAUAUCAAUUAAUAGGAAUAACUAA